AGGUUCAGUCCUCCCAGGCCCACCACUUCAGUGCAGCCCGAAGGGCUGUCACGACGCAUCCGCAAGGAUUGUCGGAUCACCUCGACACCUGUCGGGAAACGCUAUCAGGGGCCGUAGCUCAGCUGGGAGAGCGCCUGCUUUGCAAGCAGGAUGUCGUCGGUUCGAUCCCGUCCGGCUCCACCAAUGCGCAAUCCGUAAGGAUUGUCGUAAUCGCGACGAUCCUGUGGAUCGCGCGUAGGUGUCGAGUAGAGAUGGUGAGAGAAGUCAUUCGUAAAAAGAGUUUGCGCCGAGCCUUGGGCUCUGCGCCUGUUCUGUUUGACAUCGUAAAGAGAAGAUUUGUUCGAACUUCACGAGCCGCAAGGUUGGUGAUUUGUCGCAAGGGACGCUCAAUCCCUUGCAUAUGAUGGGUAAGCCUAACCGCGCCCUCGAACCGAUCUCGAGAAGCUGGUCUUUUUGUGCCAAUUCCAUGCGACGAUCUCUGCGAGAUCGCGCUUGAGCGACGAUCCUUCGGAUCGCGCUUUGCUAAUCUCGUAAGAGAGAGGCUGAAGCGACGAUUUCUUCGAAAUCGCGCGAUGGGUAUUGGCAAUGAGAACGAUCAAGUGUCUUAAGGGCAAUUGGUGGAUGCCUUGGCAUGCACAGGCGAUGAAGGACGUGAUACGCUGCGAUAAGCUACGGGGAGGUGCGAAUACCCUUUGAUCCGUAGAUCUCCG
rnacentral:misc_RNA from 1 species